GAAGUUCGGUUUCCUAUUUGAACCAGUUAAGAGUUUGGCAAGCUCAUCUGCGUGUGUAUCUCUUGGGAGUUAACUAAUACUACAAAGACCAAUCUUUGCAGAGAGCCCUCGGCCUCCAGGCUGCAAGAUAACUGGUAAUUCAGUCGCUCACCAAGAUAAUAAAAAAACUGAAGAAACUGCAAAGAGGAGAAGAACAGUGACAGCUAAACAAGAACUUGAAAGCCCACCACCUGCUGAUGAAUCCCUUUCUGCACCACCUUGUAUUGUAGAACUGGAUCCCGGGGUGAAGAUAACCUCAGUUGCUGCAGGAGGGCGCCACACAUUAGCAUUGUCAGGUAACUUCACUCCUCCAUGCAUGUUGUAGCCUGCUACUGUUGUUUUGGAAGUAAAGUCGGUUGCUUUGUGGUUACACCAUAUAGUUUUGUAGGUCUUAUGAGGUACGAAGAUAUGGAAGAACUUUAAUAUAAAGCAAGACACCUGAUGCAUCAUAUUUUUGCCGGAUUUAGAUGUAGGACAGGUAUGGGGUUGGGGCUAUGGAGGUGAAGGGCAGCUUGGUUUAGGCUCCAGGAUUAAAAUAGUGGCUACCCCUCAUCUUAUACCAUGUCUGGAUACGUCUUCACAUGGAGCAGACCAGAGUCUUGGGAGUCCUCGGGGAAGCAUUACCCCAGGGAGUCAGACACGUAAAGCUUUGGGGAGCUAUAUAAAGAGAAUUGCUUGUGGUGGCCGGCAUAGUGCAGUAAUCACAGGUUAGCACCGAGUUCAGUUUUAGUACUUCUGCUGACCACAUAGCAUCCAAUAUCUUUUAAUAAGGACACAUUACAAAUUUAAGUUUCACAUCGUGAGAAGAAAAGAAGAAUGUUUCUGGAAAUAUGUUUUAAGGUUUUCAAGUUUAAAUGCUUUGAGUUACUCCGUUUACAACAAAGUUAGACUCCAUCUCAAAUCAUUGUCUUUACUUUUUGCUCCUUGAAGUUAAAGUGAUACUUCAUCCUCGAUUAUCUUUCUGCUUAUCUGGGUAUUUAUUUCAAUUGUCAGAUGUUGGGGUGCUUCUUACAUUUGGCUGGGGAUUGUAUGGUCAGGUGAGUGUUUAUAUCAUCACACUUCAAAUGCGAUGCCUGUCUUGUCCUCUUAUCCAUAGAAGAACUCUUCACAUGCUAUUGUCUGCAAUUUCAGAAUUAGAAAGAUUGACUAAUCUUGAGCAAGGAAAUAAGCCAGGUCGCAUCUUGCUUAUAGCAUUGGCGAUAUAUGUUUUGUUGCCGGAAUAGAAUGUCCACUACUUGAUAUUGUUUUUUUUUCUCCAAACAAGCAGACACUUGUAAUCUUGUGUUGUAUCUUGUAAGAAAUUGAUGUAAAGCACCAGAAAAUAUACUGGUUCAAUGUUCACUGCUUUUCUUUGUUAGUCCUCUAGUCUCAUUCGUUGUAUUCAGUGUGGACUAGGUAAUACAAAUGACGUGCUGAGGCCAACUUGUGUCUCUUCUCUACUGAACAAUAGAAUAGAAGCCGUGGCAGGUGGACUAUGGCAUUCGGUGUGCUUAUGUGAUCAUGGCCGUGUGUAUACUUUUGGGGGAAAUCAGUUUGGCCAAUUGGGUCUAGGUACAGGCGUGGACCAUGCAGAGGUGCGUCCAAGAUUUAUCACUUGUUUCGUGUCUUUCUAAUAAACUCUUGUUUGUGGACUCAACAGUUUCAUUGUCCAAUAGUAAUAUCUGGUUGAGGCUGAAUUAUGAUGUCAUCUAAGAGUUUGGCUAGUUCCAUGAGAUGUGCCAAGAAGUAGGAUUUGUUGAAAUCACAGUCCAGAAACUUUCAACUAGAAGUGGUGGCUUUAAAUAUAUCUAGCACUUGAGGUCUAAGAGAUAAUUGUCAAUUUCUGACAGCCAAUUAGUUAGACCGUAUAAUUCCUUAUAUAUUGGCAGUUUCUGCAGCUGCAUUAUUCUAAACCUAAUUGUUUGAGGGCUCUAGAAACUCAACAGGAGAUUUCUGUUACAGACAUCACCUAGGCUUGUGGAUGACUCAAUACUGGAAAACAAGAAUGUCAAAGUACUGUCUUGUGGAGCUCGUCAUAGUGCCAUAAUGACAGGUAAGUGUCGAGACUAUCAAGAAGAUGAAGUGCAUUUCGGCCUCUAAUCCACUGGAAAACCUGAGUUCUUUUUUUUUUUUUCCACAGAGGACAACUUUAGUUCUUUUAGUUUGAUCUCACAUACCUAUUCCAAUUGUGGUGAUCUGUGGUCGAGAUAUUAUUCGGUACAUGCAAUUGUUUACAUAACUAUGACUAGCUAGUCUUGUCCAAAUAUAUAUCUGAAUCUUUGGAAUUUUAUGAGUAGCAAAGUAUACAAACCUGAGUUCCUUUUUUUUUAUCACAGAGGACAACUUUAGUUCUUUUAGUUUGAUCUCACAUACCUAUUCCAUUUGUGGUGAUCUGUGGUGGAGAGACAUCAUUCGGUUCAUGCAAUUGUUUACAUAACUAUGACUAGCUAGUCUUGUCCAAAUAUAUAUUGAAUCUUUGGAAUUUUAUGAGUAGCAAAAUAUACUUUUGAUGGUGAGUUUGAAUAUACUUGUGUCUUACCCAUGUGGUACACCGUAUUUCCUGUUGGUCAUUAUAAAAUGUGUGUUUAAUCGAUCAGCUGCGGUAAGACUUAAACAAUGGGAAACUAGCACUUAAAUAUGUCUAUUUUCUUUCCUGAUAAAAAAAAAGUCUAUUAUUGUGAAACUAUCACCAGUAAAACAAUACAUGUCUACUAUUGCUAAACUGUCACUAACUGAGGGUAACACGUUAAUAUCUCUAUUAUCCGUUUGCUAUAUGUUAGCAUCUAAAGAUACCUUUUGCUUUAACCUUUAGAGGACAGCAAAGUGUACAGCUGGGGAUGGAACAAGUAUGGUCAGGUAUGUGAGAGAUUAUUACUCUUUAAGAAGUAUGAGUUGAGUAUUACUCUUUAAGAAGUAUGAGUUGAGUAUUCAAUCUAACCUUUUGUUCUUCAUUCCAGCUUGGCCUAAGUGAUACGAUUGACCGUAACAAUCCUUGUGAAGUACCCAUCGAUGAUUGUACACCAAAAAAUGUAGCGUGUGGGUGGUGGCACACGCUAUUACU
rnacentral:lncRNA from 1 species